rnacentral:rRNA from 1 species
UCCUGUUUGUGAUAUGGACUACCAGUGCAAUAUGAUACAGUCUCCAAGAGUCGAGUUGUUUGGGAAUGCAGCUCAAAGUGGGUGGUAAAUUCCAUCUAAGGCUAAAUAUUGGUGAGAGACCGAUAGCAAACAAGUACCGUGAGGGAAAGAUGAAAAGAACUUUGGAAAGAGAGUUAACAGUGCGUGAAAUUGUUAAAAGGGAAACAGUUGAAGUUAGCCUUGUUGUUGUUGGUUCAGCCCUUCUAGGGUGUAUUCCAAUGAUUUAACAGAUCAACAUUAAUUUUGGGUGCUGGAUAAGGGUCUUUGGAAAUGUAGCAGUCUCUGGCUGUGUUAUAAUCCUGGACUUUGAUACAGUGCUUGGGAUUAAGGAAACAGCAGUAAGCCUUUUAGAGGCAGACUCUCCUUGGGGAGUCUUCUUACUGAGGAUGUUGAUACAAUAGCUUUAAAUGACCCGUCUUGAAACACGGACCAAGGAGUCUAACAUGCUUGCGAGUAUUAGGGUGUUGAGAAACCCCUUGUGCGGAAUGAAAGUAAAUGUAAAUGGGAUCUGUCAAAGGUGCACCAUUGACCAGCUCUGAUUAUUUAUAUGAAGAUGCUGAGUAAGAGCAAAUAUGUUGGGACCCGAAAGAUGGUGAACUAUGCCUGAAUAGGGUGAAGCCAGAGGAAACUCUGGUGGAAGCUCGUAGCGGUUCUGACGUGCAAAUCGAUCGUCAAAUUUGGGUAUAGGGGCGAAAGACUAAUCGAACCAUCUAGUAGCUGGUUCCUGCCGAAGUUUCCCUCAGGAUAGCAGAGACUCAUAUCAGUUUUAUGAGGUAAAG